rfam:Ictidomys tridecemlineatus contig029514, whole genome shotgun sequence.
GGGGUUGUGGCUCAGUGGUAGAGCACUUGCCUCAUAUGUAUGGAGUACUGGGUUCGAUCCUCAGCACCA